AACGAACGCGGGCGGCAUGCAUAACACAUACAAGUAGAACGACGCCUUCGGGCAUAGUGGCGCACGGGUGAGUAACGCGUGGGAACAUGCCCUGUGGUACGGAAUAAUUCCGGGAAACUGGAGCUAAUACCGUAUGUGUCCCCUGGGACAAAGAUUUAUCGCCACGGGAUGGGCCCGCGUAGGAUUAGCUUGUUGGUGGGGUAACGGCCUACCAAGGCUACGAUCCUUAGCUGGUCUGAGAGGAUGAUCAGCCACACUGGGACUGAGACACGGCCCAGACUCCUACGGGAGGCAGCAGUGGGGAAUAUUGGACAAUGGGCGCAAGCCUGAUCCAGCAAUGCCGCGUGAGUGAUGAAGGCCUUCGGGUUGUAAAGCUCUUUCGCACGCGACGAUGAUGACGGUAGCAUGAGAAGAAGCCCCGGCUAACUUCGUGCCAGCAGCCGCGGUAAUACGAAGGGGGCUAGCGUUGUUCGGAAUUACUGGGCGUAAAGGGCGCGUAGGCGGUGUGUCAAGUCGGGCGUGAAAGCCCCGGGCUCAACCUGGGAACAGCGCUUGAGACUGGCACGCUGGAGUUCGGGAGAGGAGGGUGGAAUUCCCAGUGUAGAGGUGAAAUUCGUAGAUAUUGGGAAGAACACCGAGUGG
rnacentral:rRNA from 1 species